CAGUCGCUUUGAUUUGCGCAUGGGCAAUAUUUCCUAUUUUGGGGUACAAUGUCGAAAGUUUGCGGUAGAAUGUCUAAAGUUAAAAAAGCUGAAGAAAGAAAGCGCGUUAUGCAUUUGAGAAGUAAUUUAAUAUGUAUGUAUUUGCUGUACAAAAGCGUUUGUGUUCCAAGGCGGGAAUGGGUUCGGUCAAUUUUUCAAGAGCGAGAUACGUAUUCCGCUCAUGCAGCAUUGUUUCCGUCACUGAGGCAGAAGUACCCAGAAUUAUUUUUCAAUUAUACUUGAAUGACGGCAAGUUAUUUUUAUUUUUUAGCAAAACCUGAAAGUAAAAAUUGAAGGAAAGGUCAUCAGUCGUGAAGUCACGUUUCUGACCUCCUUGUUUCGCCCAGUGGGCAGAAAGAUUUAGGAAAGUGCCGAAACGAGAAAUCUGUGUCUAUCCAUUGUAUGCUUCUGUAAAACAGUGUGGCGCUAAAGACGGUAAUUUGAAAAUUUACCCGAGUACAGUAGCGAGUGAUUCUAUACAUAAUUUAUUUAUAUUUUCAUAUAGAUAAUUGUAAGAAAGGAUGUUCUUAUUCAAAUUUUCAGUAUUUGUUUAGGAUACCCAAGCAAACUAUCAAAAAUUAUACCAGAAGUUUUGGAAGCUUUAUGGGAAUCCAUGCAAAAUUACGUAAAGAUACCAAACUCUGCUGAAGAAUGGCAAAGUAUUGCAGAAGCUUUUGAUGAAAAGUGGAACCUGCCACACUGAUUGGUGCUAUUGAUGGGAAAUAUAUUAUGAUAAAAGCACCUGUAGAUGGUGGCAGCACUUUUUAUAAUUACAAAAACUUCAAUAGUAUUGUUCUGAUGGCAUCAGUUGAUGCAAACUACAAUUUUACAUUCAUUGAUGUCGCAUGUAAUGGACGAGUAUCGGAUGGAGGAGUUUUUGCUAGGACAAGUUUUGUUUUUCAUUAUUAGAAAAUAACUGCAUAGAGCUGCCAAUCCCAACUCCUUUGGUACCAAGUAGUGAUCCUGUGAACUACUUUAUAGUUGCUGAUGAAGCAUUCCCUUUAAAACCAUAUCUGAUGAGACCAUAUCCUGGCAGAAAUAUCUCUCAGCAACAGAGGAUUUUUCAAUUAUCGACUGUCCAAGGCAAGCUGCAUUCAGGAUACUGUCCAACAGAUUUCAGAUCCUGAUGCAAUUGAUUCAACUGCCUCCACCGACAGUUGAUAAAAUUGUUUCUGUAUGCUGUUGCAUGCAUAACGUUCUGCGAGAAAGACCAUCUAGACAACUAUAUAUGCCAGGAGAACUCAUCGACCAUGAAGAUGACGAGUUUAAUUUUGUGCCAGGCUUCUGGUGAAGCCAGGAAUCCAAUAACAAAAUGAAAGCUCUCUCUAAACAAAAUGGCUAUGAGACGAGGUCUUUUGAAGCAAGACUUUUGUGAGAAAGAAUAUGUCAUUAUGUCAAGAAUGAAGGACAAGUAAAAUGGCAGAAUAAACAUUGAAAAUAGCAUUAAAUAUUUAAUUUCAUAAAAUAAUAAAAAUAAAGAAUGUUAUUUGUAACAAUUUUUACUUUCUGUUGCAAAACAAUAUGAAAAAAUAUGUGAAGUCUUAUUUAUUUUUUCACAUUCAUAGAAUUUAAUUUAUUUUAUUUUGUUCUGUCUGUGCAUCUCUGAGAAUUUGAAGCAUUUCAAAUUUUGUAUCUGUAAGGAGUUGGGGGUCUUGUAUUUGUCUUAAUUCAGAGCUGAGAUAGAAACCAAAUUGUGAUAGUGGAUCUGGAUUAUUUUCUUUUGAUUUUAGAAUUGCUGAAAUGUUUCCUAGUGUGGCUGCUGUGAAUAUGUGUUCAUGUUUCUGUUUUUUAUUUGAAUUUGUAGUGUUUGGUGUGCAUGUUUUUGAUAAUUGUGUAUUAUGCAGUUCUGGAAUUUCCUGUGAUUCUUCUGUAGCCUUGCUCUUCAAAAUCACUGUCUUCUCAAAAGAAUAUGUAGUUUCUUCUUGUGAUUCAUGUUCAGCAUCAUUUGGAUUCUGCAAAUUAAAAUUAUAUGUUGGUUUUUA